GACGAACGCUGGCGGCGUGCUUAACACAUGCAAGUCGAACGGGAUCCAUGGAGUGGCAACACGACGGAAGAUCUAGUGGCGAACGGGUGAGUAACACGUGAGAAACCUGCCCCGGUCUCUGGAAUAACUCUCCGAAAGGAGGGCUAAUACCGGAUACCUUCCCGCUGUCGCAUGGCGAUGGGAAGAAAGAUUCAUCGGAUCGGGAGGGUCUCGCGGCCUAUCAGCUAGUUGGUGGGGUAACGGCCUACCAAGGCAUCGACGGGUAGCUGGUCUGAGAGGAUGAUCAGCCACACUGGGACUGAGACACGGCCCAGACUCCUACGGGAGGCAGCAGUGGGGAAUCUUGCGCAAUGGGCGAAAGCCUGACGCAGCAACGCCGCGUGCGGGAUGAAGGCCCUCGGGUUGUAAACCGCUUUCAGCAGGAACGAAAAUGACGGUACCUGCAGAAGAAGGUCCGGCCAACUACGUG
rnacentral:rRNA from 1 species